AGUGAACGCUGGCGGUAGGCCUAACACAUGCAAGUCGAACGGCAGCACAGUAAGAGCUUGCUCUUACGGGUGGCGAGUGGCGGACGGGUGAGGAAUACAUCGGAAUCUACUUUUUCGUGGGGGAUAACGUAGGGAAACUUACGCUAAUACCGCAUACGACCUACGGGUGAAAGCAGGGGAUCUUCGGACCUUGCGCGAUUGAAUGAGCCGAUGUCGGAUUAGCUAGUUGGCGGGGUAAAGGCCCACCAAGGCGACGAUCCGCAGCUGGUCUGAGAGGAUGAUCAGCCACACUGGAACUGAGACACGGUCCAGACUCCUACGGGAGGCAGCAGUGGGGAAUAUUGGACAAUGGGCGCAAGCCUGAUCCAGCCAUACCGCGUGGGUGAAGAAGGCCUUCGGGUUGUAAAGCCCUUUUGUUGGGAAAGAAAAGCAGCAGGUUAAUACCCCGCUGUUCUGACGGUACCCAAAGAGUAAGCACCGGCUAACUUCGUG
rnacentral:rRNA from 1 species